GCAGUAGCCGCGGUAAUACGGAGGGAGCUAGCGUUAUUCGGAAUUACUGGGCGUAAAGCGCACGUAGGCGGCUUUGUAAGUUAGAGGUGAAAGCCUGGAGCUCAACUCCAGAAUUGCCUUUAAGACUGCAUCGCUUGAAUCCAGGAGAGGUGAGUGGAAUUCCGAGUGUAGAGGUGAAAUUCGUAGAUAUUCGGAAGAACACCAGUGGCGAAGGCGGCUCACUGGACUGGUAUUGACGCUGAGGUGCGAAAGCGUGGGGAGCAAACAGGAUUAGAUACCCGUGUAGUCCCUGUCUCUUAUAC
rnacentral:rRNA from 1 species